rnacentral:tRNA from 1 species
GGUAGUGUGGCUCAGUGGUAGAGGGCUUGCCUAGCUUGCAGGAAGCCCAGGGUUCGAUUCCUCAGUACCA